rnacentral:misc_RNA from 1 species
GAUGAAGAACGUAGCGAAAUGCGAUAAGUAAUGUGAAUUGCAGAAUUCAGUGAAUCAUCGAAUAUUUGAACGCACAUUGCGCCCGCUGGUAUUCCGGCGGGCAUGCCUGUUCGAGCGUCAUUUCAACCCUCAAGCUCUCCGGAGUUUGGUGUUGGGGCGCCUGGGGCUUUUCGACCUCAGGGCCCUCAAGUCCAUCGGCGGGACCGCCAGGACACUGAGCGCAGUAGUAUUAUUUCGCUCGGUAGGAUCUUCCACGGCGGGUCGAUCUGGCCGCUAAACCCCCCAAUUCUCACCAAAGGUUGACCUCGGAUCAGGUAGGAAUACCCGCUGAACUUAAGCAUAUCAAUAAGCGGAGGA